rnacentral:rRNA from 13 species
AACUCAAAGGAGACUGCCAGUGAUAAACUGGAGGAAGGUGGGGAUGACGUCAAGUCAUCAUGGCCCUUACGACCAGGGCUACACACGUGCUACAAUGGCGCAUACAAAGAGAAGCGACCUCGCGAGAGCAAGCGGACCUCAUAAAGUGCGUCGUAGUCCGGAUUGGAGUCUGCAACUCGACUCCAUGAAGUCGGAAUCGCUAGUAAUCGUGGAUCAGAAUGCCACGGUGAAUACGUUCCCGGGCCUUGUACACACCGCCCGUCACACCAUGGGAGUGGGUUGCAAAAGAAGUAGGUAGCUUAACCUUCGGGAGGGCGCUUACCACUUUGUGAUUCAUGACUGGGGUGAAGUCGUAACAAGGUAACCGUAGGGGAACCUGC